AAGGUACUCCCUCCGUCCGAAAAUACUUGACACCCAAAUGGAUAAAAAAUGAUGUAUCUAGAUGUAUUUUAGUUCUAGAUACAUAUCUUUUUGUCCAUUUUGAUGACAAGUAUUUUCGGACAGAGGGAGUAUUUA
rnacentral:pre_miRNA from 1 species